rnacentral:lncRNA from 1 species
UCAAGAAACCCCUAAUAUAAAACUGUCCUAACCUAUCCCCCAUUUCGAACCUCAGUUAGUUCCCUCACUCAAACCCUAAUUCAACCUAGCCGCCCCAAAUUCCCAAACCCCCACGGCUGGCGGCGCUACCCAAUCGACUUCAAGUUUAUACCACACGAUCACCACCCACCCAUGUUUCCUAAUCUCCCACCAUAAUUCCCAAAAUCCCCAUAUAAUGCUCUUAGAGUCGGAUCUAACGAAAAAAAAGAAAAGAUCGAGUUUUUUUCUCUUUUAACCGUUCUUGUGUUGGCUCGAGAUCCAUGCUAGUCGAUUGUUCAUGGCAAGAAAAACCGAUUAGCAUUCAUUUCAGGUCAUCUUAGAGUUACUCGAACCGUUUUUUUUUCGGUCACUGCUUGUUAAAGCUUUCUUCCACAUUUGUUUAGGUAAUAACCAAUACCUCUUCCUAUUUUCCCUAUUUUUCAUGCUUUAGCAUAUCUAGGUUUUGACUUUUUUUGCUUUGCAUGAUUUAAGUUUUAAAUUGUUUUGUUAAUUUUGUUAUUGUUUGAAUCGCCAUCUCAGUAGCUUAACAAUUAGCUUAAUUGCAUUUGUUAAUAAAUUAUUGUCUUUUGAUUAUUUCUUUUAAAGUUCAUUUUUCGUUUAAUUUCAGAGAAUGUUUUCUUAAGUUUUCGACUGAAUUCAUUACUUAGUAUGGUUGGGGAUUCAGUUUGGUCUUGUUAAUACAGAAGAUCAAGGGUAGGUUGGAGCAUGUUUGACAAUAUAACCCAAUUGCUGGUAUUUCUCUGAAAGUUAAAUAACAGAAAGUCAAAGGGUAUUUAGGGGACUUGAUCUUUAGGAAGGCUGUAAGAAAGUGGGAAAAGAGCCUGAUUUACUAAAUAUAUUUAAAGUUUUUGGUAUGAAAGGACAAAAUGGAAAUUGGGGAUGAGUAAUAGUAAAGGAAAAAAAUCAAUCUCUGCUGACCUAAUACCCCUCUAUAAGAGUCUCAUUUCCCUGAAUUCAGUAGAAAGGAAGAACACCUAAAAAUAGAAAACUACUAUAGUUUGGAGCUGGAUUUCUUUCUUUGGGAAAAGUUUGGAAGUGGUCUUUCUGGUUUUCUAAGCUGAACUAUGGCUGAGUUUUGAGGCUGUUUAAGUUGAUUUUCUUUGUUAUUUCCUUGCUACCCUAAGCUGAUUUUCAAAUUCAUUUUUGGUUUAUUUCACUGUAACACGUAUGUAUUGCUGAACAUUUUAUUGGCUAUUCAAUCAUAUACAUGAAGCAUUGGAUGAAAUGUGGAUUGAUAUAUUGAUUCUGAUUUUAUUUUUGUCUUGUUAUUCUGUCUUUCUUUCUUUUUGUACAACUUCUUUUCAGCAUGUUAGAGUUUAUCUUUAAAAUGUAGGUACUAUUUACCUUAUGUUGUGUAUGGUUUCAUUCUGUGAAGACUUUUUGAGGUUUAAAUUAAUUGCAUGGAUCCUUUCCAAGUAACGCAUUAUAGCAUGUUAUUCUGGGAAGUUAUUGGCGUAUGUGAGUUUUAUUUUAUAGGAUUUGAUUUGAAGCUCUUAUUUGCUUUGACAUCUUGUUAGUUAUGAGAUUUUGAUUAGCUUACUGUACUUCAGCUGUGAUUGUAUCGAAUUAGUAAUACUCAAAUAGUUAAUGAUUCAAGUUUAUAUUAUUUCCAUGUGAUUAAUGUAUGAGUGAUACUGGGAGAGUUAUGAAAUUAGUCAUAUGUUUACUUUCGCCAUGUUUCAAUCUAUUUAAGACAUGUUCGUUGAUUCAUUGCCUUCUGGGGCUGUUACUGUAAAUUUGGUUAUUUGUUAAAUUAGAUGAUUAAAAGUGACAUUUCAUUGUCAUGAGACUAAGGAACAUGUAAAUAUUUUAUAGACAUCAGCUAUGGAAAUCAAUGAAGGUCUCCUCUAUUAUGGGCCUGUAGAAACAUAUUUAGGCCCAAUCCGAGUUGAGUGUGGUAGCCUGGACCAAGAAAGGCUUGGGAAGUGCCAUAUUUGUUUUCUGUUAUUUUUUUGGGGCCUGAUUGUGAGCUCAUCGGUUUCAGUGUUGUUUUUUUUUCAAUAGCGUGACAUGCCUCUUAUUUGGGCCCAGUGGUUCAGGAGGUUAUAAGCAUGUACCAAUUUUUAAACAUUUUGGUUGUAACCCACAUCAUGUCAUUAAUCUAGGAAUUACCAGGAGGAAUGCACGAGAUUUAGUUUGCUUUAGGCACAUAAUUAAAUAUCACGACUACGGGUAUAGUCUCAUGGCGUGAUUGUAAUACUUAAUCUCAAGUUAGUUUAAAAUAUGAAUAUUCGUAGUUCAUGUAGUUGAAUACUUUCCCGUUAAUAAAAAUGAGGCGUGCCAUUCAUAAAAGUGACUUCCACAAUCUAUCGCCUUCAUAUUAAUUAUCUUAACUCGUGUAGAAAAUUCCUUGAACUUUUAUAGUUUGCAUUAGGCGCAUUAAUUAAAUAAAUUUUAAUAGAUACGGGUACAGUUCCCGUAACGUAGUUGAGAUGCAUAAUUUCUAAAAUGCAGGUGUACAUUUCAUGUGACCCGAUUUUAAUUCUUAACAAGGUUAAAUAGAACGUGUCGUGACUCACGGGUUGCAUUUCAUGUAGCGUGGCUUACGCCGUGCUGUAAUUGACCUUGAAAUAAUUCCUUAAAUAAAUAAAAACGGUUUUAAAGUUAAAAAUGCACAUAGGUUUAAAAGUAUUUUAAAAUCACAUAAUUAGGACAGUAAUAAUAAUUGAGCGACCGUGUUAGAACCACGGAACCCAGAAAUGCCAAACACCUUCUCUUGGAUUUCGGUGUUCGCGAACUAUAAAACAAUGACAAUUUUCCUCGAUUCGGGAUUUGAACCAUUGACUCGGGAUACCAUAAAUUAUCCCAAGUGAGCACUCUGAACAAACAAAAUAAUCUUGUUUCGAUUAUCACUUAAAUUGGACAAACUCCUUUGUAUACCCUUACGGGGUAGUAAAAAAAUGUGUGAUAGGGAGUCACAGAUGAGCAUGAUGGGUUUUAAGUGAGAAGUCGCAGAUGCGACCAGUGUUCCAUAAAAGCAGGACCGGAGAAGUGGUCCCAGGAUCGUAGAUGCGGUAAUAGUUGGGCAGAAAUAUGAAGUUUUGAGGGUUUAGUUUCAACAGUUGGAAAUUCAAUUUGGAGCUCGGGAGAGGGCGAUUUUGAGAGGAAAUUGAAGAGGAGAUCAUUGGGUAAUAAUUAUUUAACUCUUUCUAGUUAUAUUCCAUCAAUCUAUAGCUUGUUUCAUCAUUUAAUUUAGGAUUGGAGAUGAAAAAUUGGGGAAAGGUUGGAAUAAAGUUCUUCGACCUAAAAUUCGACUUUUGAAUUUGACCUUAUAUUUGGAUAAUUUUUGUAUGAUGAACUCGUGAGUGUAUGUGGAUUCUGAAAAUAUAAAUUUUACCUCAUUCCGAGACGUGGGCCUACGGGACAUUUUGGUUAUUUUAUCUACUUUCGCGUAUUAGUUUAGAAUUACUUAAUAAAAUCAGUUACUUGAAGUGUUAUUUACAUUAUGAAAUGGAAUCGAAUAUAUUUGGGACAUUUGGAGAUGCAAGAACAUUGUCUCGGAUUGAUAAUUGAGUCAGCUCGAGGUAAAUGGCUUGCCGAACCUUGUGUGGGGGACUUUUCCUUUAGGAUUUGGUAUAUUGGCAAUUGUGAUUCCAUGUACGUGAAGUGAAAAGUGCGUACUUGUGCUAAUUGUUGGGGAUCCAAUUUUUCAUUAAGUAAUUACUAGUAUCUUUUCCUUUCUGUUUUUAUUACUUGCACUAUUAAGCAUGUUGUUAGCUUAGGAAAGCAUGUCUAAGUUAUUAAUUGCUUUAUCUGCUCAAACUGCUUUACUUGAAUUCUGUGUAGGAUGCUAGGCUAGACUUACUUGUUUGACUUAAUAUGAAAUUUGACAUUUAUGAAUAUUUUCCUGUUGCUGCUGUGUAUUUACAUAGGGACUACGGAUGUGGGAUUCUGGUAGCUACCCCUUGUAUGUUUAUAUUUGGGACUACAAAUGUGGGAUUCAGGUAGAUCCCCUUGCACAGUUGUAUGGAACUAUGGGACUGCACCUGGUAGAUUCUCCCAGUACCGGGCAUUUAUAUUUGGGACUAUGGAAUGGGAUUCUUGUAGAUGUCCACGCACUAUAAGUUGGACCACGGAACAGUAUCCCGGGAGAUCUAUUGCCUAUGUAUAUUCGGACUAUAGGACGAUAUCAUGGGAGAUCACUGAUUGUUAUUAUAUGUUGCUGAGUUGUAUUUCCUUCUAUGUUUACUUUGCCUCAAUAUAGUUGUUGCUAUCCUUUAUAUUAUGUGUUACCUUUACUGA